rnacentral:rRNA from 1 species
AUUGAACGCUGGCGGAAUGCUUUACACAUGCAAGUCGAACGGCAGCACGGGAGCUUGCUCCUGGUGGCGAGUGGCGAACGGGUGAGUAACAUAUCGGAACGUACCCAGUCGUGGGGGAUAACUAUCCGAAAGGAUAGCUAAUACCGCAUACGUCCUGAGGGAGAAAGCGGGGGAUCGCAAGACCUCGCGCGAUUGGAGCGGCCGAUAUCGGAUUAGCUAGUUGGUGGGGUAAAGGCUCACCAAGGCGACGAUCCGUAGCGGGUCUGAGAGGACGACCCGCCACACUGGAACUGAGACACGGUCCAGACUCCUACGGGAGGCAGCAGUGGGGAAUUUUGGACAAUGGGGGCAACCCUGAUCCAGCCAUGCCGCGUGAGUGAAGAAGGCCUUCGGGUUGUAAAGCUCUUUCAGCAGGAACGAAACGGUCGGCUUUAAUAAAAUCGGCUAAUGACGGUACCUGCAGAAGAAGCACCGGCUAACUACGUG